UCUCGUUUCUUCCUUUUUCUAUCGUCUCCUUCCCUUUUUCUUCGUCAGAGCUCUGCCUCUAGAAGAAUCGCCUCCCCUCUUUCGUUCGCUAGGGCUUGGCAAUCGCAUGCGCCGUCCGCCGUCGCCUCCCUCAUCUGUCGCUCAUCCGUAGCGGGCGGAACCAAACCAUGUGUCCAGGUUCUCCUGGUCCCGAUCCAUUGGACAACUUCUUAGUCAGGUUUCAUUACUAUGGAUCAUUUCAGCAAGUGGACGGAAAGUUGGAUUACAUUGGGGAAUUGGUGGCAGAGAUGUUCAUUCCAAGGGAUAAUUUGUCCUAUAGAGAAUUAUGUAACUAUGCAGAAGAUAUUCAUCAAGUGGAAAGAGGUCACUGCAGAGGUACUUACAGCUACAAAUUACAUUGGUUACUUCCAGGAAAAAAGUCAGUGAUGGUCUUAUGUUCCUGUCGGAUGAUGAUUCGGUGAAGAGGAUGGACAUUGGAAUAAAAGAUGGUGGUUAUGCUGAUGUUUUUGUUGAAGAAAUGAACAUGCCAAUUCAGCAGGAGCACUUUCUCCGUGAUAAAGAAAUGCACCAAGACCAAACCAUGCUAUCUGGUAGUGAUGAGCAGUUUGACAUAUGUGUAGGUGAUGAGCAAUUUGACAUGUAUGCAGGUUUGUUGUCAGUAAAUGUAAGAGAAACUUACUCUAGGCACAAAGGGAAUUGGUUUUUGACUACCAAUUGGAAUUGCUGAGAACUAACCCAGGUAGCACUGUUGCUAUCAAACUGGCAGAUGAUGUGAAGGAUGAUGAGCAUGUUUUUGAGAGGUUUUACAUGUGCUUUGGUGCUAUUAAAAAAGGAUUUCUUGCUGGCCGCAGAAAGGUUAUAGGACUAGAUGGUUGUUUCUUUAAAGGUGCUUGCUUUGGUCAGCUACUUGUUGCUUUGGGAAGAGAUGCCAACAAUCAGAUGUACCCUGUAGCUUGGGCUGUAGUCGAAAAAGAAACAUAUGAGUCCUGGUUCUGGUUUGUUGAGAAGUUAAACAGAGACCUCAAAAUCAGUAAUCAAGGGGAUGGGUGGGUGUUCAUCUCAGACCAGCAGAAAGGACUAAUAGGGGCUAUAGAGGAUAUUCUUCCAAAAGCAGAACAUAGGAUGUGUGCAAGGCAGCACAUUUACUCCAACUGGAAGAAAAAACAUAAUGACAAAGAUUUGCAAAAGAGAUUCUGGAGAUGUGUAAAGGCUCCUAACAGGUCUCUGUUCAACUAUAACAGAGCACGGUUGGCUCAAUUCACAGUUGAAGGAGCAAAGGACAUGAUGAAUACAGACCCAAUUCACUGGAGUAGGGCUUACAUGAAGCUGGGAAGCUACUGUGAUUCAGUUGACAAUAAUAUGUGUGAGUCAUUCAACAAUUGGAUCAUGGAAUCAAGAUAUCUACCUAUUAUAUCUAUGCUGGAGUGGAUAAGAUGCAAAAUUAUGGUGAGGAUACAAGAAUGCAUUACCAAGUGUUUGAAAUGGUCAUGAAUCAUAUGCCCAAACAUAUUUAAAAAACUGAAGCAGAAUAUAACAAGAUCUGGAAAUUGUCAUGUGCUCUGGAAUGGAAGAGAUGGGUUUGAGGUGUUAGAGCAUGAUAAAUACAAGUACACUGUGAAUUUGCAAACAAGGACGACGAUUUAAAUAAGGAGAGAACGAGCUGUCGGACCUCGUGACCCCGCUCCGCCGCCGCCGCCGGCCCCCUCCCCCCACCCUGCUGCGCCUCCGGCCGCACGUGCCGCGCCGCGCCCCGCCUCCCUCCUCCCUCCCGGCCCGCCCCCCCGCGUCGCCUCCCCGAGCGAGGCGACCGGGGGCCCAUCUCCCCGCCCUCCAGCGCCUCCCCCUCCCGUUCCCCUCCUCCCGCCGCCGCCGGCCUGCGCCACCGGGCCCUGCCCGCGUGGUGUUGGCGGCGGCGGCGGCCGUCCCUUCCCCGCGCGCGGUGCCACGGCUCGGGUGGUGGCAUCCCGCGGCGGUGCUCCUCGGUCAACGAUGAUUCCGGCAGCGGCGGCUGCUCCUGGCGGCGCAGCUCCGGGUGGCCUAGAGGCGGCGGCGCAGCCCCUUGGCGGCGCGCUGGCGCGGUGGAUGGUGGCGGCGCCCUCCCAGCCUAGAUCUGGGCCCUUUUGGGCCCCCUCUGGGUCUGGGCGGGCCUGACUCGAUCUCGCCUGCGGCGGCUCCGGCGGGGGCGGUGGUGGUGCGGCUCGUGCGGGGGGUGGUGGAGACGGCGGCACGUCUACUGCAGCUCGGCGACGGGUGCUUCACGAGCCCCUUUUGGGCUCGGCCGGGCCUCGAGGGCCUGGUACGCUCCCCUUGCCGCGUCCGGUCGGUGACCGCCGAUGGCGGUGGAGGUGUUGUCUCCUCCGGCGUGGCUGCUCUCGCUGCCGUUCCUCGUUCCCGGCUGCUCCCUCUCGUCCUCGUUGGUCUCGCUUCGAUGACCACGGUGAGGCGGCGGUGAUGAUGGCAAGUCCGUGGUGGCGCACGUUCGUGGGUGGCUUGUCUGGUGGUGCGCGUCGGACCGUUCGGGGUUGUGGGUGUUUGGCGGAUGGGAGAAAUCCGGGCCGGCUUGCCGGCACCGACGCAGUGACGCCCGUGGGCGCCAUCGUUCCUUCCUGAAGGGCGUCGGGUCUUCCCCUUCCCCACGCCCCUCCACGUACCGGGGGAAACCCUAGGACCUGUCCGGGCAGCAGCGUCGUCGUCGUCGUGUUCCUUCCUGAAGGUGCUACUUGGUAUGCGGAGGUUCGAGGUGCCUGGAGCGAGGUGGUACAUCUCCGGUGGGCGCAACGGUUUUGGGUUAUCAUCGUUUUCGUCGAUCCGACGUUGUGGACAUUAUUUUCUCUCUUCUUUCUCUUUUGUUUCUUUUGGGCAUGCUUGUGCUGUUUGCCCCAGCAUUGGACUCUUUGUUGUAUCGGGCGGUUGCUAUAUCAAUAUAGCGGGGCGAAAGCCUUUUUCGUAAUUUGCAAACAAGGAAAAGAGAAGAAGGAGAAGCACCAAAAGGGAUAAAAAUGAGCAAGGUGGGUGGCCAAAUCACUUGCAGUUCAUGCAAUAGGACAGGCCAUAACAUGAAAAGUUGCACAAAUAAUGCUGCUGCAACUAAGCAUCAUGGAAAUGCACAUAUUGUCAGAGAAAGGUCUAGGAAAAGGAAACUACAGAAAGAAGCCUAUGAGGCAGAAACUUCAAAGAAAUCAAAGGCUGAAGAAGUUGCAAGGCAGAGCAAGGGAAAGGCUGUAGCUCAAGACCUACAAGUGCACGAGUGCAGACGACCUACAGGCAUUCAAAUUAGGGAGCCAAAUUCACAACCGAGCUCAUUGCCUGUGUCACAACCAAGCUCGCUGAAAUAUGAUAAGCAUGCUCCAGGCAGCAAGGCUAGAUCAGCAAAGGUUCAGAGAAGUGCUGCUACUCCAUUUGUUCCACCUAAACAAGUUACAAAUUUGCCACAACAUUGUGUCUUCAAUUUGGCUGGAUACAAAGAAGCUAAGAAAGGCAGAGCAGGUCCUCCAGUUUGAUGUUGAGGAGUCAUUUUUGUGUCAAGAGUCAUGUCAUGUAAUAUAUAUCUAUAUGGAGUCGUGUAUUCUCUGUACUAUCAGGCUACUAUGUUCUGUAUUAUAAAUUAGGGUUGGUGUUUCAUAUGAUCUUUUCAUACUGGCAUACAAUAUCUUUGUAUUUUUUUUUUGUAAUAUUUGGUUCAGAUGAUCUUUGCAUACUUGCAUACAAUAUCUUUAUAUUUUUUGUAAUAUUUGGUUCAUUGCAGAUGAUCUUUUCAUAACAACAUACAGUAUAUUUGUUUUUUGUACUAUUUGGUUCACUGCAUAUUUUAUGCUGUUCAUAACAACAUACAAUAUAUUUGUUUUUUUUGUAAUAUUUGGUUCACUGUAGAUGAUCUUUUCAUAACGGCAAACAAUAUAUUUGUAUAUUUGGUUCACCGUAGAUAAAACACAGUGUUGCAUACAUCACAACACAUAUAAGAAGAUCAGACAUACAUUCUGAAUCUUUUCGUAUCAGCAUUCAGUAUACAUUCUACAUAAGAAGAUCAGACAUAAAACUGAGAGUUUGCAUUGUACCAAAUUCUGGAUCUUUUCAUAACACUUGCAAGAGGCAUUGUACCAAAUUCUGAAUCUUUUCAUAACACUUGCAAGAGGCAUUGUACCAAAUUCUGAAUUUUGCAUAA